GAGGUUCGACUCGAGCGAAGCGAGAGAACGUUGCGCCAGCAACGGCCCGCAGGGCGAGCCACGAAGUGGCGAGUAAUCCUCUGGCACCGACCA
rnacentral:sRNA from 1 species